GGUCCUUGGCGCAGUGGUUAGAGCCUCCGCUUUGCAUGCAGAAGGUCCUAGGUUCAUUCCCCAGCAGCAUCU